AGAUGAGUUAUUUCGCGCACCUGUUCACGCUUCACUGUGACGUGCGUUCUGCACGUGCUCGAUUCAUUUUAGUUUGCGUACAUUUGUGUGUCCUGUGCAUGUAAACGUGCGUUGGAGAUUUGUCUUCAUGUGAUUGUUCGUACGCGGUCGGGUUUUCCUGCGUGUGUGUAAACGUGCGUCGGCUUUUGCACCGCUAGUGAUUUGUCUUUCUUUCGGCUGCCUCUGGAAUUAAACUAUUAUUUUGUACCGAACUAAUAUUUUAUACCCAUUCUGCAUCUUUUCCAUUCAUAGCUUUGUUUGCAUCGUGCAGCAGCGCAGGUCUGUGUGUGGGGAAAAGGCAAAUAUAACGCCGCUGGAAGAUUUAAUUACAGCUUUUCUGAUGCAGAGUCGCAGUUGUGGGAAGAAGAUGUAACACAGUUAUGUUUUGAUGAUGUAUAUGUCGCAUGGUUCUGUUUGUGCGCGAUCGUUUCUCUAUUCAUCGUUGUCCUUUUCAUUUUGUGUUUUGAGUUUUUUUUUUUUUUUUUUUUGGAUUCUUACUGUAGCUUCACUGUCGCAUUCAUCUGCUGGAGGGAAGACAAUUCCGGAAGUUUAUUACGUACGUCAGUCAGUUCGGCCAUGUUUCCCCCCCCCCCCCCAGAAACUUAAGGAACCAAUCUGGUGAUGGAUGGACUGUGUUUCCUCUCCCGCUGCGAUUUGGCCGUCUCUACGUUCAUUUAGCUGAAGCUCUUAUCCACAGACGUUUACAAUGCGGGCGAAACGUAAGAGCAUUUUCACCUGAUUAAUAUGAGCAAUUAUGGCGGGCCCGGCUAACGGCCUCCGUGCGCCAGCAGCAAUAAAAAGUCUCCUCCAUUGGACGGUUCUCUCCCAGCGGUCCGGCUGAUUGGCUGCCAAGAAGGCGCUGGCGAGUCCUCAAAGCCCCCUCUGCUCUCGCGUGGCCGCCGCUGACAGACGGGUGAUGUCAUCGAGCCCCGUGUUCCGCGGGGGGUCAGAGGUCGUGGCAGGCAGCGGUGGAAAAAUAAAUGUUAGCGUGGAGACGAAGCGGAGCAGGAAGCCAGGAGACGUUUGUUCGCUGAACGCGGAACGCUGAACGCUGAGAAUGCUGAACACGGGCGGGACAAAUGCGUCGGAGCUGCUGAUUGGUCGCACGCGGGAGCUUGUUAAAGCUGCGGAAACGACGGCUCUCUCUCUGGGGUCGCUAGUCUUCCAGGGUUUCUGCUCCAAAUGAUCUUUUAACGACUUGACGGAUCAAACAGCCCCGUUAAUCGAUCAGCGAGAAGAUAUCUCCCUCGGCGUGGAUAUUGAGCCUGGGGGAUCAUUAGCUGGGGGGGAAGUAUCUGGGAUCUCUGGUUAAAGUGCAGAUCCAGCCAUAUUAAACCAGGUCUGGGAUGAGCAAAAAGACAUUUAAAUGAUACUUUUUUUAAGCAUCUCCCUUGAAAGAUCUGUUUCUCUGUAUUUGUACUGUCCAGGAGCAAGACCACAUGAACCACGUUGCCAUUUUUUGUUGCAGCUCUUGUAAAUAAUUUAUUGGAAUGACUGUACAACCUGGGGUAUGUAAGCAUAAGUGGUUAUUUAUAUGAAAUUUUUUUUUGCAAUAUGCCAUAUUUGUAAUGAAUUACUGAACCGGAAGGUGUUUGGUGAGGUUAUUCAGUAGAAAAAUGUACAGUUGCACCACUUGCUCUUCAGUAGGACAGUCCUGUAACCUUUGUCUGAAAGGUGUGUCUUAAUGGACUGGCUGGCACUGUUACCUGUGGGACGGUUUUUAUAUGAAUUUUGGGCAUGUUUUUAUGGCGAAUUUUAUCGGCUGAAAGAGACAGCACUCACCCGUGAAAGGCUCGGCACUCUGAAGACGUCUGAAGGUUGGCGCCUUGCUCUAUUUUAAAGAAAAAUGGCCUGGAAAUGGUAGUUCAGCACCUGACAUCAAAACAAUAAAUAUAUAAAUAAAUAAAAAAAUAAAAUUUU